CACAUAGUCUGUGCGAAACGGAGUUGGUCGCUAUCCAGUGUCCCCCCGCACUACCCUCUCUCCCCGCUAUAUGUUUAUAGUCCUUGCUAAGCCUCUCCCAACUACCUGUGUUCUACCUUGGUCUCUCUGCUGCUAGAGACAGGAUUCCCCUAACAGACAGUGGACAGCAGUUUACAGAGAACAAAUCUCUUUUCCUGGGGCAAAACCAUCCGCAGUGAGGAACAUUUUAAUUAGCUUGACCUUGCCUGACCAGAGAGAGAAGAGAGACGUUUUAUUCCCGAAAAGAAAAGAUUGGUGACUUUCUUAAAGCAGUUUCAUGCGUCACACAUCUUGAGCCUGUCCAGCUGCCAGUAUAAAUUAUGAUCUGUUCAAGUGCAUCCUUCUUGGCACAGAA